rnacentral:lncRNA from 1 species
CCAAGGUUUGGGUCAUACAUCUAAUAAAAGACAUUAUAAUGAAUCAAAAGGUUUAAUUACAUAUAUAUAUAUAUGUCUUUUAUUUUAAACAUAAAUAAUUUAAACCAUCUAAAAUGAGUAUCAAAGUUUUAACAUUUAAACUAUUUAAAGAGUUAUUGGACUUUAGAAUCUAUGUCAACCUCUUGAGUCCAACACUUCAAAGUCAUCAGAGGCAAUGUUGUUUCAAUGACUAACCUUCCCCUUUUAAAUAUAAUAAUUUAUCAUCUUGUUG